GCGGAUGUGGCGGAACUGGUAGACGCACUGGAUUUAGGUUCCAGCGGGGUGACCCGUGGGGGUUCAACUCCCUCCAUCCGCACCA
rnacentral:tRNA from 1 species